rnacentral:rRNA from 13 species
CUCUGAGUAGUGGAUCACUGGGCUCACGGGUCGAUGAAUAACGCAGCCAGCUGUUAGAUUUGGUCUGAAUUGCAGGACACAUUGAGCACUGAUUUUUCGAGCGCACAUUGCGACCUCGGGUCCUGCCCGGGGC